UAUUGGGCGUAAGAGCUCGUAGGCGGCGUGUCGCGUCUGCUGUGAAAGACCGGGGCUUAACCCCGGUUCUGCAGUGGAUACGGGCAUGCUAGAGGUAGGUAGGGGAGACUGGAAUUCCUGGUGUAGCGGUGAAAUGCGCAGAUAUCAGGAGGAACACCGGUGGCGAAGGCGGGUCUCUGGGCCUUACCUGACGCUGAGGAGCGAAAGCAUGGGGAGCGAACAGGAUUAGAUACCCUGGUAGUCCAUGCCGUAAACGUUGGGCGCUAGGUGUGGGGACUUUCCACGGUUUCCGCGCCGUAGCUAACGCAUUAAGCGCCCCGCCUGGGGAGUACGGCCGCAAGGCUAAAACUCAAAGGAAUUGACGGGGGCCCGCACAAGCGGCGGAGCAUGUUGCUUAAUUCGACGCAACGCGAAGAACCUUACCAAGGUUUGACAUCACCCGUGGACCUGUAGAGAUACAGGGUCAUUUGGUUGGCGGGUGACAGGUGGUGCAUGGCUGUCGUCAGCUCGUGUCGUGAGAUGUUGGGUUAAGUCCCGCAACGAGCGCAACCCUUGUUCCAUGUUGCCAGCACGUAAUGGUGGGGACUCAUGGGAGACUGCCGGGGUCAACUCGGAGGAAGGUGGGGACGACGUCAAGUCAUCAUGCCCCUUAUGUCUUGGGCUGCAAACAUGCUACAAUGGCCGGUACAAUGGGCGUGCGAUACCGUGAGGUGGAGCGAAUCCCUAAAAGCCGGUCUCAGUUCGGAUUGGGGUCUGCAACUCGACCCCAUGAAGGUGGAAUCGCUAGUAAUCGCGGAUCAGCAACGCCUCGGUGAAUACGUUCCCGGGGCCUUGUACACACCGACCCGUCACGUCAUGAAAGUCGGCGACACCCAAAAACUUGUGGCCCUACCCUUUCUGUGAAGGGAGUGAAUGGAGGGUGG
rnacentral:rRNA from 1 species